rnacentral:rRNA from 1 species
GACGAACGCUGGCGGCGUGCUUAACACAUGCAAGUCGAACGAUGAAGCCGGAGCUUGCUCUGGUGAAUUAGUGGCGAACGGGUGAGUAACACGUGAGUAACCUGCCCUUGACUCUGGGAUAACUGCUAGAAAUGGUAGCUAAUACCGGAUACGACCCUCGGCGGCAUCGCCAGGGGGUGGAAAGAAUUUCGGUCAAGGAUGGACUCGCGGCCUAUCAGCUAGUUGGUGAGGUAACGGCUCACCAAGGCGACGACGGGUAGCCGGCCUGAGAGGGUGACCGGCCACACUGGGACUGAGACACGGCCCAGACUCCUACGGGAGGCAGCAGUGGGGAAUAUUGCACAAUGGGCGCAAGCCUGAUGCAGCAACGCCGCGUGAGGGAUGACGGCCUUCGGGUUGUAAACCUCUUUUAGUAGGGAAGAAGCGAAAGUGACGGUACCUGCAGAAAAAGCACCGGCUAACUACGUGCCAGCCGCCGCCGUA